GAUGGAUUGGUUAGGAUAAUUUUGUUGAUAGCAAGGUAGUUAUCAUAUAUUUUUGGAUUAAAGGAUCUAGAACUCAUAAAGAGUUUCCAUGAAGUUGAAGUGCGAGAGAACUCGAUUCCAUGAAAAUAUUGUCAAUUAUCUAGAUCCUUAAUUAUAAAGGAGAAACGAGCAUAUGGGAUCCAUAAAUCAUGAACUUGUUGAAAAAAAUAUCCUUGAUAACGUUAUCAUCGACAUAAACCAAAAGAUAAAGCGUGACAUAAACUCUAAAGAGAAUGAAAGAUAUAUAUCUGCUACAGAGUUGAGAAAAUCCUUGAGAACAAGCGUAUGAUGCCGAUAACCAAAAUAUAAUAUUAAA
rnacentral:sRNA from 1 species